GACGAACGCUGGCGGCGUGCUUAACACAUGCAAGUCGAACGAAGUGGCGAACGGGUGAGUAACGCGUAAUCAACCUGCCCUUCAGAGGGGGACAACAGUUGGAAACGACUGCUAAUACCGCAUACUGAAGGAGGGGAUGGCGUCUGAUUAGCUAGUUGGAGGGGUAACGGCCCACCAAGGCGAUGAUCAGUAGCCGGUCUUGACGGAUGGACGGCCACAUUUGGACUGAGACACGGCCCAGACUCCUACGGGGGGCAGCAAUGGGGAAUCUUCCGCAAUGGACGAAAGUCUGACGGAGCAACGCCGCGUGAGUGAUGACGGCCUUCGGGUUGUAAAGCUCUGUUAAUCGGGACGCGGUACCGGAAUAGAAAGCCACGGCUAACUACGUGCCAGCAGCCGCGGUAAUUC
rnacentral:rRNA from 1 species